rnacentral:rRNA from 1 species
GACGAACGCUGGCGGCGUGCUUAACACAUGCAAGUCGAACGGAGUUACGUAUGAAGUAUUUCGGUACGGACUAUGUAACUUAGUGGCGAACGGGUGAGUAACACGUGGGCAACCUGCCCUUAACCGGGGGAUAACAUUGUGAAAACAGUGCUAAUACCGCAUAACAGAGUAUCGGGCAUCCGAUAUUUUUAAAAGGAGCAAUCCGGUUUAGGAUGGGCCCGCGUCCAAUUAGCUAGUUGGUGAGGUAACGGCUCACCAAGGCUACGAUUGGUAGCCGAACUGAGAGGAUGAUCAGCCACACUGGGACUGAGACACGGCCCAGACUCCUACGGGAGGCAGCAGUGGGGAAUUUUGGACAAUGGGCGCAAGCCUGAUCCAGCCAUUCCGCGUGCAGGACGAAGGCCUUCGGUUGUAAACUGCUUUUGUACGGACGAAAAGGUACUUCUCUAAUACAGAGGGCCCAUGACGGUACCGUAAGAAUAAGCACCGGCUAACUAACGUGCCAGCAGCCGCGGUAAU